GGCUGGAUGGCAGAGUGGUUAUGCGUCCGACUGCAGAUCGGAGUAUGUGAGUUCGAUUCUCACUCCGGCCU
rnacentral:tRNA from 1 species